rnacentral:rRNA from 1 species
AACGUAGGUGGCAAGCGUUAUCCGGAAUUACUGGGCGUAAAGGGUGUGCAGGCGGGGGAGCAAGUGGGGUUUGAAAUCUCCCAGCUUAACUGGGAUAGGUUAUGCCAUACUGCUUUUCUAGAGGACGAGAGAGGGGGGUGGAAUUCCGGGUGUAGUGGUGAAAUGCGUAGAGAUCCGGAGGAACCCCAGAGGCGAAGGCGGCCCCCUGGCUCGUACCUGACGCUCAUGCACGAAAGCGUGGGGAGCAAACAGG